rfam:Gossypium hirsutum cultivar TM-1 chromosome 2, whole genome shotgun sequence
AAUCUGUGGUGGGGGAAUUUUUAAAUCAAAAUUUUUAAAUGUUCUUAUGCCUCAUAGAAACUUUCUCGCUCCAUCUUUCUAAAGAGAACAAUCUCUCUUCUUAGUUG